ensembl:lncRNA
GGUAUGACAUGGAGCCUAGGCAUAGGCAUUCCAGUUUUUCUACAAGACUUUUGCAUAAACCUGGGCAAACUACGCCACCUCUUUGUGUGUUAUCUGUGAGGGUAAGGAGUCAUGGAAAGUCAAUAUAGCCCUUCCUUACCUUACCAUAAUGCUGAGAGGAGAAAAUAAGGAGAGUGGUUAUGGUUUCACAUAUGGUUACAGCUACAUAAAUCAGCUAAAAAAGGUCAGGGUACUUGCCAAGUUCUGGUCUGCAAGUCUCCAUCCAACAGGAACAUUCCCCAACUGUUACCACAGUCCCUAACACUUUGGCUUUGCUAUCUCAAACAUUGCCUAGGAAGGGCUCAGGGGUAGCAAAGGCAGAGGUCUCUGUGCAGUGGUAGCCUGGAUUUGGCAGCCCUGAUUUAUGGGAGAAGAGGAGCAGAGUUCCUUCUGGCUGGACACACACCAUGCAGCUCCAACUGGCCUCAAGACUGGAGACCUGCCCCUGCCUGUUUUAUUUACUAUUAUAGACAUAGCCUGUGAAACUCACUGAUAAAGGGACAUGGCUUCUGGUUACAGACAAUAUAAAAUUAGAUUAAUGGUAAGAGUUAAGCACAUACGGUUGUUUGUCAAUUUGACCUGCAAUUAGAUCCACGCUGACAGUUUCUUGGCUGAAGUUUUCAGGACACAAAAAACGUUUUGCAAACACAGGCAUAGCCUUUGCUGGGAUGGAUUCUGCCGAUGACCUGAAACCCAGCAGCACGACCUCCCUCUCUCUUGCAAUGCAUGUGCUGCUGCGAGGAUCUCUCCCCUCAGGCUGCCGCACACUGCUGUAAGUCAGACCAGCCAGACCCACAAGAGGUCCUGCAGAGCUGCAAACCAAACACACAGGACCAGGAAACACAUGGACUGUGGAACCACUUCUCCAGCAAACACACAAGGAACAAGCCAUGGGAAGAACUUCUGGUGAAAGUUACAGUUGUGCAACAAAACACCCCCCAAAGAGACGAAGUGGAAAAUUGGUUAAAAAAAUCCCGAUGGAAGAUUGUGUCCUACUUAAAUCAAAGCACUUUUGCAGGAAUGUUUCUAUCUGUAGGUUUUACAAAAAUAGUCAACUCAUUCCUUUUCGAUACAGCUGAAACAUUUCAUUUUGAGAAAUUCAGAGCAUUUUCUUUCACUGCUAGUGAUAAUGUGUUUUAUUGCAGAGUAUCUCAGAACUGACAGGCUGGGAGUUGCCUGAAGACAGCAACUGACUGUCCAUUCCUCUGCUUUUUAGGUACAAUCAACUUAAAUAGAGCAUCCCUGGCAGAGCUUUGUCUAAUCUAGCCUCACAAGAUUUUCUUUUUUGUGAGUUUCAUCUUGCUUUCCAGUCAAGAAGCUAUUCCUAAUAUCUAAUGUAAAUUUACCUCAUAAUUUUCUAUUCUAGAGAAACUGUCAUUGAAGCAUUUGGUCUUAUUGAAACAAGACAUUUAUUUAAAAGGUCAUUUUUCUAUUCCCUCAACAUUUUUUCAGGAUGUUUUUCAAAAACUGGCUCACAGUCAGAUGUCAGUUUGACAUUAAGGGAUAAUCAGAAUUUACUGCAGAAUAGUCGCCCCCAUUUCACGGUCUGUGUUUUCUCUUCAUGACUAAAUGUGCAGGACUACCUCAGUGCACAUCUGCAAAAGUAAGGAGAGGCAAUAGGGUGCUGCUUCACCUUUGUUUCAGCUGAAGAAAGCUUUGGGUAAGCUCUUAAGUAUGACCCAGGCUGAGCAUGGAAGUGCGGUCAGGAAGGACCACAAGAAAAGGGUGUUACAGAAAAUUAUUGAAGUAUUCUUAAUUCAUGAAGAUCUUAUUACCAUAGCAAAAGUAAGGGCAGUGAGAACAGCAGGGAACGCUCUGCAAAUAGACCUGAAUCUUGGCAUGGGGAGAUUUGCUAUUUAUGUGCUUGCAAUAUAGGGCAAAGCUACCUUUUUCUUUUUUGGGUAUCUGCUAGGAGUGCAAUGUUUCCCAAAUUAAUGAAAAUCAAGAGUUAAGUUAAAUGACAUAAUAAAAUCCAGACAUUGAUUUUUAUGUUAGGAGUCGUCUUUAUGCAAAGCAUAAUGUAUCAUCUUAAAUGUCACUCAUUCAAGUUAUCCUAUUAUAAUUCUAUUCCUUGGUGAUGGCCAGGAAAAAGUUGUUCAGGGCAUUCAUCAACACUGUCUCUAUGUCAUUUUUUGUCUACUAUGAAACCUGACUGUAAGAAAUCUCAGAUAUUGGUUGAGAGAAAAGCUGGGAGAUAGCUGCUACCACAGCUGGAUCAGCUGUGUGUGCUCCAUUCCCGUGCUCUUCUGUGUGCUCAGAUAAAAGUUACCUCUAAACAUCAAGUAAAGGCAAACAGGGAGCUGUGAGGCCAGAAUGCCAGGGAAAAAAGGGUUUGUAACUGGCAUCUCUAAACAAUGCUGAUGGAGCACUAGGCCUACAACCGGCAGCUCCCAGAGGCGUGCAAAGAGUUUGGAAACUGUGUUUGCAAUAAUGUGGAGGGCAUUGAGCUCAUGUCUCUUUCCCAGCUCCACACCAGCUCAAUCUAGGCAUGGAAGAAGCAGACUCUGAGGGAAGAGUGCCAUCUACUGAACCCCAGCCUUUGGGCUGCCCAACCAAAUACAGCUCACCCAACCUAGAAGCCUCACAUGUUCCCAUCUGCAGCCCUCCCAGCCCACCAGAAACAGCCUUUCCCAUCUCUGGUCUUCCUUAAAAGCAAUGUGAGCAGCAGAAGCCUAUAGAAAUACCACCAAGGUAUAGAAACAGAAAUCAAAUGUCUCUUGUAUUUCCUGGUUUACAAAUUAAUUGCUUAUAUAUAUAGCAAGAAAAUAACAGCUAAGAAUACCUGUAAUGAUUGGACUGAUCUGUGGGUGAUUAACUCAGGUGUCCACAGCUCUCAGCAGCACUGCAAAGGAAUCAUUCUUCAUAAAGAAGAAGAAAUUGAUCUAUUCUAAGACUAGAAAGCGCUACAUCUACUGAUCAACAUUCCUAUUCAUCAGAGCAGUAACCUGCUGCUACAUUACCUGGGCCACAAGGGUGCUAUGGUAUUUUUACAUUCCAUUAUAAUAAAUUAGCUGUUCUGCUAUUAACAUGCUUCAUAUUUAAGAGAGAUAGUCACCGGCUCCUAAAGAAUCGGAGCCAGUCCUUUACAUAAACUGUCCCAGGGCUCAAUUAAUUGCUGCAGUGACCAAGUGUUUAAAUGAAACUUCAUUUUCCAGAUAUGUCUCAUCAACACAGAUUGGAAUCAAUAAGGCUCAUUUCAAGCAGUCUACCCACCAUCUCUAUAUUCCAGGCAGCACUUAUAUUCAUCUGGGUAGUAUUAGUUUAUCAUAUGUCUCUGAUGUAUUUUCCUGUCAAACCUUCCUUUUCCAUGCUCAUACAGAUGAAUGAACAGUGUCAAAAUAAUUUCAUUCUGUUUUAUCUUUGCAAGAAUUUCAGAGCUGCAGAUGGGAGAGAGGGGUAAUUAUCUAGGUCUGUGAGGGCCAUGGAACAAGGACAGCAUCCUUUCUGAUUGUCACAGACAUACUUUAGUUGAUACUCAGCCUUCAGUCAGAUCACUGAAUAAGAGAAAACGAUGAUUUACUGUAUCACCCCAACAGCCUUUAUGGUCCCUUGCUCAGCCAAGGCAAUUGUCUCCUCAGAGUCUUUGAGCCUCUGGAAUGAUAUAGGAAAAAAUGUGUCACUACCUCACAUAACAGCGAAGAAUUUGGGAAAAGUAGUUGUAACUUGCCUAGACAUCAGUUUGUUAUUGUUUAUUUAUUUCAGGUCAUUCCUUUAUUCAGCAAUUACAGAAUACGCAGGAAGUGAGGCAGCUGAAAUUAUCUUCAUUAGCAGUUUUAAUCUGAAGCAAAGGGGCAUCAGGCAAUGAAAGAGACAAACUGAAGUUUCUUAGCAGUCUGCUUGAUUCACAGAGCUCACACUGAAGAUGUCUGUUCCCAAGCGGCUAUUUAAGAAUUAACCUUUAAAGAGGGUAUUUGCUAGAUUGAAAAGAAAUGAGAAUUCAUUACUUCUAAGGAUGUGGCCCAGAAUUGUUCCUACUCUCUUGGCGAGGCAUCGCUCCCUUAAAGAGCCUUUCUUUCAGAUGAUUAGCUAUCAUUCAGUAGUACCAAUACACUCAAACACACAUUUCCUAACAAGAGCUGUCUUCUGCCUCCAAUCCAGGCAUCACACUCUGUCCUACAGACUUAAUACAAUUGCAGCUGAGCAAAAAGCUCAUUUGAAUUUCAACAGCCUGUGGCCACAAUAAGGUACAAGCAAUUCAGAUUUCCAGGAAUUUCUGGACCAGAAAUUGGCUGCAUAAUUACAGUACACCAGUAUGUGAAAUAUGCAACUGAGUAGUUUCAAUGAUGCUUGCAACUUAAACCGAUGCAUCCACUUCAUAUACAACUUGAUUAUACAGGCUUGUAUCAAUAAGAUGGAGUGGAACAGAAAAAAAGAGAGCUGCUCUUGGCUGUAAUAUUGUUUCACUGCCACAGAGACACUGCCAAGAGGGUCUCCUUCCAUUGCAUUAAUGUAUGCAUCCAUUACAGAGAGGCUUUUUGUUUGCUUGUUCCAGCUGUAGAAAGCAAUGCUGUACUUGUGCUCACACUGUUGUGUUCAUAUCUACUGCAGAGGAUAAAGCCUUUUUGGAAAGAGAUCCCAAAUCCAGCUAGAAGAAAAUACUGCCUUCAUAUCUCAAGUAAGCAUCUACAUUGGGCAGUUAGAGUAAUCUAUUUUUUUUCUGUUAAAUUUCAAAUGAGAAGCUCUGCUGUCUUAUUUUGGACUGUUUUUCAUGCUUUCUAUUUUCUCUACUAGGAAAAUAGAUCUUUAUUUCUUGAACUCCUUCACAAACACCAGUGUGCAAAGGUUUAAUAUUGAUUUUUAUCAGAAUUCCUGCAGUAGUAGGCCCUGGUCUUGCAAAGAAAUCAGUGCAAAACCUUCCUUUUUUCUUAUAGCAAAGACAAAAACCUCAUUCAGAGGGAGAUUAACUAAAUCUUCUACUCCUUCAUUUUAGAGAAUUGGCUUUUUUGCACAAGGAAACAAAAGUGAAUAAAUGCAUUUCCAGGAUUCUGACUUCCCUGUAAUUUUUCAUGGAAGGGAGCAGAGCACCAAGUUUGUUUUAUUGUUCCUGGCCUGUAAUUAGAUGUUUUCUAGACAAAAUGUUUCACCUCACAAAAGGUGUGCUUAGUUGAGAGAUUUAGUGUUGAGAACUGUUUCUGUUCCUAUGUUGGAGAUGUGAGGGGCAGAAAUUCCCACAAAUCCAGCACUUAUGGGCAAAAGAGGGAAGGAAACCUCAUCACUUUCUUAUCUAGAACUUGAUCCAAUGACAAAAAGCUAAAAGUGGAUUAAAAGAAAUCAAAGAGAAAGUUCAUCCUGUGGAAUACUGAAGGUCCUUCUCCAUCUCUCCACUCAGUCCCCAGAUGAAAAGGAUGCUCAGCAGCUCAUACUUUUCCGGAUUUUCCUACAGUUCAUGUGUGGAACAUUUUAAAAAAGAACAUCCCUUUUGCAUACUGGUGGUAUCAGCCCAGAACCUUUCCUGAGAACGAGAUUCACUCUGGAAGAACAAUCACAAAACACCCAUUGUUCAAUAGGUCCUAGACACAGUAGGGUGGACUGAGAAUAGCAUGUCAGAUUUAAUUUUAAAUGUGUCCAAUUUUCUUUCACAUAUCAUAUUUUCUUGGGUAUUUUUAUAAGAUUCUUUUGACUCUUCUCAAAUUAAUGCCCACAUUUUGAUUUCUUUUAUUCUCAUUAGGCUACAUGAAAACUGAUAUAGUUACAUCAUGAUGUCAAGAAUUUGCAAAUAAAUAUUUAUGUACCUCAAAAAACCGAAUUAUGUAAAUGAAGUUCAAUAAAUUGUGAAAAGAUAUAAUAUUCUCCACACUGUGUCAUGUACAUCUUAAAAAAAAAAUCUUUUCAAGUGAUGUUAUGAGCUUGAUAGAGCACAACACUUUCACUGGAACCAUCACGUUUAAUUACAUGGUAGCAUAUGUACUCCAAAUAUUUCUAAAAUGGGUAGAAUUUGCAAUGUAAAUGCAAAUCAAAAUAGCUACAUGACCU